UUCGACACACUAUCAUUAACUGAAUCCAUAGGUUAAUGAGGCGAACCGGGGGAACUGAAACAUCUAAGUACCCCGAGGAAAAGAAAUCAACCGAGAUUCCCCCAGUAGCGGCGAGCGAACGGGGAGCAGCCCAGAGCCUGAAUCAGUGUGUGUGUUAGUGGAAGCGUCUGGAAAGGCGCGCGAUACAGGGUGACAGCCCCGUACACAAAAAUGCACAUGCUGUGAGCUCGAUGAGUAGGGCGGGACACGUGGUAUCCUGUCUGAAUAUGGGGGGACCAUCCUCCAAGGCUAAAUACUCCUGACUGACCGAUAGUGAACCAGUACCGUGAGGGAAAGGCGAAAAGAACCCCGGCGAGGGGAGUGAAAAAGAACCUGAAACCGUGUACGUACAAGCAGUGGGAGCACGCUUCGGCGUGUGACUGCGUACCUUUUGUAUAAUGGGUCAGCGACUUAUAUUCUGUAGCAAGGUUAACCGAAUAGGGGAGCCGAAGGGAAACCGAGUCUUAACUGGGCGUUAAGUUGCAGGGUAUAGACCCGAAACCCGGUGAUCUAGCCAUGGGCAGGUUGAAGGUUGGGUAACACUAACUGGAGGACCGAACCGACUAAUGUUGAAAAAUUAGCGGAUGACUUGUGGCUGGGGGUGAAAGGCCAAUCAAACCGGGAGAUAGCUGGUUCUCCCCGAAAGCUAUUUAGGUAGCGCCUCGUGAAUUCAUCUCCGGGGGUAGAGCACUGUUUCGGCAAGGGGGUCAUCCCGACUUACCAACCCGAUGCAAACUGCGAAUACCGGAGAAUGUUAUCACGGGAGACACACGGCGGGUGCUAACGUCCGUCGUGAAGAGGGAAACAACCCAGACCGCCAGCUAAGGUCCCAAAGUCAUGGUUAAGUGGGAAACGAUGUGGGAAGGCCCAGACAGCCAGGAUGUUGGCUUAGAAGCAGCCAUCAUUUAAAGAAAGCGUAAUAGCUCACUGGUCGAGUCGGCCUGCGCGGAAGAUGUAACGGGGCUAAACCAUGCACCGAAGCUGCGGCAGCGACGCUGAUGCGUUGUUGGGUAGGGGAGCGUUCUGUAAGCCUGCGAAGGUGUGCUGUGAGGCAUGCUGGAGGUAUCAGAAGUGCGAAUGCUGACAUAAGUAACGAUAAAGCGGGUGAAAAGCCCGCUCGCCGGAAGACCAAGGGUUCCUGUCCAACGUUAAUCGGGGCAGGGUGAGUCGACCCCUAAGGCGAGGCCGAAAGGCGUAGUCGAUGGGAAACAGGUUAAUAUUCCUGUACUUGGUGUUACUGCGAAGGGGGGACGGAGAAGGCUAUGUUGGCCGGGCGACGGUUGUCCCGGUUUAAGCGUGUAGGCUGGUUUUCCAGGCAAAUCCGGAAAAUCAAGGCUGAGGCGUGAUGACGAGGCACUACGGUGCUGAAGCAACAAAUGCCCUGCUUCCAGGAAAAGCCUCUAAGCAUCAGGUAACAUCAAAUCGUACCCCAAACCGACACAGGUGGUCAGGUAGAGAAUACCAAGGCGCUUGAGAGAACUCGGGUGAAGGAACUAGGCAAAAUGGUGCCGUAACUUCGGGAGAAGGCACGCUGAUAUGUAGGUGAGGUCCCUCGCGGAUGGAGCUGAAAUCAGUCGAAGAUACCAGCUGGCUGCAACUGUUUAUUAAAAACACAGCACUGUGCAAACACGAAAGUGGACGUAUACGGUGUGACGCCUGCCCGGUGCCGGAAGGUUAAUUGAUGGGGUCAGCGCAAGCGAAGCUCUUGAUCGAAGCCCCGGUAAACGGCGGCCGUAACUAUAACGGUCCUAAGGUAGCGAAAUUCCUUGUCGGGUAAGUUCCGACCUGCACGAAUGGCGUAAUGAUGGCCAGGCUGUCUCCACCCGAGACUCAGUGAAAUUGAACUCGCUGUGAAGAUGCAGUGUACCCGCGGCAAGACGGAAAGACCCCGUGAACCUUUACUAUAGCUUGACACUGAACAUUGAGCCUUGAUGUGUAGGAUAGGUGGGAGGCUUUGAAGUGUGGACGCCAGUCUGCAUGGAGCCGACCUUGAAAUACCACCCUUUAAUGUUUGAUGUUCUAACGUUGACCCGUAAUCCGGGUUGCGGACAGUGUCUGGUGGGUAGUUUGACUGGGGCGGUCUCCUCCUAAAGAGUAACGGAGGAGCACGAAGGUUGGCUAAUCCUGGUCGGACAUCAGGAGGUUAGUGCAAUGGCAUAAGCCAGCUUGACUGCGAGCGUGACGGCGCGAGCAGGUGCGAAAGCAGGUCAUAGUGAUCCGGUGGUUCUGAAUGGAAGGGCCAUCGCUCAACGGAUAAAAGGUACUCCGGGGAUAACAGGCUGAUACCGCCCAAGAGUUCAUAUCGACGGCGGUGUUUGGCACCUCGAUGUCGGCUCAUCACAUCCUGGGGCUGAAGUAGGUCCCAAGGGUAUGGCUGUUCGCCAUUUAAAGUGGUACGCGAGCUGGGUUUAGAACGUCGUGAGACAGUUCGGUCCCUAUCUGCCGUGGGCGCUGGAGAACUGAGGGGGGCUGCUCCUAGUACGAGAGGACCGGAGUGGACGCAUCACUGGUGUUCGGGUUGUCAUGCCAAUGGCACUGCCCGGUAGCUAAAUGCGGAAGAGAUAAGUGCUGAAAGCAUCUAAGCACGAAACUUGCCCCGAGAUGAGUUCUCCCUGACCCUUUAAGGGUCCUGAAGGAACGUUGAAGACGACGACGUUGAUAGGCCGGGUGUGUAAGCGCAGCGAUGCGUUGAGCUAACCGGUACUAAUGAACCGUGAG
rnacentral:rRNA from 1 species